rnacentral:rRNA from 1 species
CCCUUAGAUGUUCUGGGCCGCACGCGCACUACACUGAUGCAUUCAACGAGCCUAUCCUUGACCGACAGGUCCGGGUAAUCUUUGAAUCUGCAUCGUGACGGGGAUAGAUUAUUGCAAUUAUUAAUCUUCAACGAGGAAUGCCUAGUAGGCGCAAGUCAUCAGCUUGCGUCGAUUACGUCCCUGCCCUUUGUACACACCGCCCGUCGCUCCUACCGAUUGGGUGUGCUGGUGAAAUGUUCGGAUCGGCCGUUUGUCGCGGUUUCCGCGGCUCGUGGCUGAGAAGUUCAUUAAACCCUCCCACCUAGAGGAAGGAGAAGUCGUAACA